GCUGAGCUCAGCGCUGACACUCACAGGAGCUGCGUUCGCCGGAUCCUCUGAGAGGCUCUGCAACGAUCCCGAUCCAAUUCAGCAGCGUUUUAAAAGACGGAGUCUUGCUCUGGCGCCAGGUGGGAGUGCAGUGGCGAGAUCUCGGGUCACUGCAACCUCCACCUCCUGGGUUCAAGUGAUUCUCCUGCCUCAGCCUCCCAAGUAGCUGGGACUACAGGUGCCCGCCACCACACCCGGCCAAUUUGUGUAUUUUAAUACACAACAGUAUUUCGCCAUGUUGGCCAGGAUUGUCUCGAUCUCCUGACCUCGGGGUCUGCCACCUCCACCUCCCAAAGUGCUGGGAUUACAGGCGUGAGCCACCACACUCGGCCCAUGAAUUUUUUUAGUAAAAUUGAUUUGCUUUUAUAAUAGAAGAUUAUUUAGACUGUAGUUUAAAAUUCUAAAUGGAACAUGACAAGUUUAAGAAUUCAAAAAUAUCACUUGUUGGAUCCUACCUUUUCAAGAUAAUGACUACAUCUUUACAAUUGCUGCCUUUAGCACUGCAAAUUA
rnacentral:sRNA from 1 species